rnacentral:tRNA from 14 species
UGGGCGGUGCCGGGGGCGGUCUUCAAGACCGCGGGCA